rnacentral:rRNA from 1 species
AUUGAACGCUGGCGGCAGGCCUAACACAUGCAAGUCGAGCGGCAGCGGAAAGUAGCUUGCUACUUUGCCGGCGAGCGGCGGACGGGUGAGUAAUGUCUGGGAAACUGCCUGAUGGAGGGGGAUAACUACUGGAAACGGUAGCUAAUACCGCAUAACGUCGCAAGACCAAAGAGGGGGACCUUCGGGCCUAUUGCCCUACGACCUGCCCAGAUGGGAGUAGCUAGUAGGGGGGGUAACGGCUCACCUAGGCGACGAUCCCUAGCUGGUCUGAGAGGAUGACCAGCCACACUGGAACUGAGACACGGUCCAGACUCCUACGGGAGGCAGCAGUGGGGAAUAUUGCACAAUGGGCGCAAGCCUGAUGCAGCCAUGCCGCGUGUAUGAAGAAGGCCUUCGGGUUGUAAAGUACUUUCAGCGGGGAGGAAGGUGUUGAGGUUAAUAACCUCAGCAAUUGACGUUACCCGCAGAAGAAGCACCGGCUAACUCCGUGCCAGCAGCCGCAGUAA